rnacentral:rRNA from 1 species
UCGCCUGUUUAUCAAAAACAUGUCCUUAUGAUAAUAAUUUAAGGUCUGGCCUGCCCACUGAAUUUUAUUAAUUUGAAGGGCCGCGGUAUCUUGACCGUGCAAAGGUAGCAUAAUCAUUAGUCUUUUAAUUGAAGGCUUGUAUGAAUGGUUGGACGAGGUACUGACUGUCUCAGUGUAAGUGAUAUUAGAAUUUGACUUUUAAGUUAAAAGGCUUAAAUAUGUUUAAAGGACGAGAAGACCCUAUAGAGCUUUAUACUGAAUAUUUAUUUUAUAUUUAAAUGUAUUUUGAAAGUAAAUAGGAGGGUAUUUGGUUGGGGCGACAGGAAGAUAAAAUAAACUCUUUUUAAAUGCAAACAUUGAUUUAUGAAUAGUUGAUCCAUUAUUAAUGAUUAUAAGACUAAGUUACCUUAGGGAUAACAGCGUAAUCUUUUUUGAGAGUUCUUAUCGACAAAAAGGGUUGCGACCUCGAUGUUGGAUUAAGAGUAAUUUUGGGUGUAGAUGUUCAAAGUUUAGGUCUGUUCGACCUUUAGAUUCUUACAUGAUCUGAGUUCAAACCGGAGA